GAGGAUGUAGCUCAGUUGGUAGAGAGCUUGCCUAGCAUGCAACAGGCCCUGGGUUCAAUCCCCAGCAUCACUA
rnacentral:tRNA from 1 species